GGGCAGCGGCGACUCGCGGCGGCGGUGGCGGCGCUGGAAGUUCCCGAGUUCUAGCGUCGCAAGAAUGGGAAGCGAGCGAAGCCAAAAUGCCCCCGGGGAGCGCGGCCCCACUGGGGAAGGCCGGCGCUUCCACACUCCCCGCUCGCCGAGGCUCCCCCCUAGCCCAGCCCGCUCCCUCGGAGCCAGCCAGGGACCUCGGGGCUCGGCCAGGGGCUUUGGCAUCUGCGCAUCAGACAUACGGGACUGACGAAUCUCCUGCCUUCCAGGAGCGAUGGGCAGAGAGGAGGAGUGUUGCCAACGCCAGGACGAGCGAUGGAUGGUGAUGCCUGCAACCUAUGGCUGAACUGGAGGUAAUUCACUAGCGGAUCGAUAACCUACCGAAGGUUCCUGAAAGGCUGCAACAUUGUACGGAGCCCGGUUAGCGGUUAAAUCGUUUCUUUAUUUAAUAUUUGCUAGCUUGAGGAUACUGAAUAAAACGUUCUGGUUUGUGCUCUGUUUCUUUACUGCUUACAGGAAAAAAGAAAAUAAAAACUAAGCAGAUGUCUACUGAUAAUUAGCUUUUUAAAAAAUCCAUAUCUGGUGAAGGAUUUAAAGGAGCAUGAUCGGUUGUCUUUAUGUUUUGCAACGUGUCUGCGCUUUUUCAGGUCGAGUUUGGGCCUUGCAAGAACGAAUGUGUUUGUGCACAAUAAGAAUGAAUUUAGCAGGGAUCAGUGUAAACAGGAGAAGCUGUAAUUUUUUAAUGUUCCUUUAGCCUCAGUUAUUAACUGAUGCAACUUGUGAAGCAAAGACAAAAGUAUAUUUGAAAUUAUAUAGAAACUAGACAAAGAACUAUUUUUUUACUGUACAUAAAACCCCCUGAAAUUCUCAACUAUCUAACUUCCAACAAAAUUAAAUUUGAACAUUUCUGUGCAGCUGGGUAGCAGAGGGUAACAUGAGUUGAGCAUUUUUAUACGUGUUUCCAAUGCCUGCAAGCUCAGUGUAUGAGCUUGAGCUUUGUGCUUGACAUGGUGAGAAAGCUUCGAUGCAAUCACACUUCUGCUUUAUUGAAGAAAUGUUACCCUGAAAGGUUAAAGGAAGGAGGCUAAAAUAUCACUUAUUUCUAUUGUCUUAUUAUAAAAAUUAUUUUUAUAUAGUGGAUGUCUAGAUGCUGUGCAUUUUUUACACACAAUUAUACCAUGUCCUAAAAAAUAAUUAAAAUCCUAAUCUAGAAAUUGUUAUCAUAAGGGUAAAUGUAUUUUGUAGGAGACAUUCUUUUUUUAAAAAAAAAGCAAGACUGUAUGUACUCGAUUUGAUUGCUACAUCUGUAGCAAUAAUCACUAUGUAUUUAAAAAUGUGCAUGUAUCUCCCUUUCCCCAGAUUUGUAACAAUAACCACUCUGAUUCAGCUUCAUUUUAAAUCCACACUUCAAGUAAUUGAAACGGAAAUGAAAGCAUAUUUAAUGUCUAAUAAAGAUUUUAAAAAUAAA